ACACGACUACAUUAGAUACCCCUGUAGUCCUAGGCGUAAAUGAUGCGAGUUAAGUGUGGGGGCAUCUACGAGAUGGCCCUGUGCUGUAGGGUAGCCGUUAAACUCGCUGCCUGGGAAGUACGGCCGCAAGGCUGAAACUUAAAGGAAUUGGCGGGGGAGCACCACAACGGGUGGGGCUUGCGGUUUAAUUGGAUUCAACGCCGGAAAUCUUACCGGGACCGACAGCAACAUGAAGGCCAAGCUGAAGACUUUGCCGGAUUAGCUG
rnacentral:rRNA from 1 species